CUAAGACAUGCAACGUCGCACGGGCGUAGCAAUACGUCAGUGGCGAACGGGUGAGUAAUGUAUCGCUAACGUACCCCCGGACUCCGGGAUAGCCGGCCGAAAGGCCGGGUAAUACCGGAUGACACCCCCCUGUCGCAUGGCGGGGGGCUCAAAGGUCCGCCGGUCUGGGAGCGGGCGAUAUCGUAUCAGCUAGUUGGCGGGGUAACGGCCCACCAAGGCGACGACGCGUAGCUGGUCUGAGAGGACGGCCAGCCACAUCGGGACUGAGACACUGCCCGGACUCCUACGGGGGGCUGCAGUAACGAAUCUUCCGCAAUGCACGAAAGUGUGACGGAGCGACGCCGCGUGUGGGACGAAGUCCUUCGGGAUGUAAACCACUGUCAGGGGAAAGAAAGUUCUGAUCUACCCCAGAGGAAGGCACGGUUAACUCUGUGCCAGCAGCCGCGGUAAGACAGAGGUGCCAAGCGUUAGGCGGAAUCACUGGGCUUAAAGCGUGUGUAGGCGGGUCGUUAAGUACCUUGUGAAAUCCCACGGCUCAACCGUGGAACUGCUGGGUUAUACUGGCGGUCUUGAGCCACUUAAGGGGCUGUCGGAACAGACGGUGGAGCGGUGAAAUGCGUAAUUCGUCUGGAACGCCAACGGUGAAAACAGACAAGCUGGGAAGUGUGCUGACGCUGAGACACGAAAAGCCAGGGGAGCGAAACGGGAAUUAAAUACCCCGGUAUUCCUACCGUAAACCAAUUGUUCAAUUAGAUCGUGGUCCCUCUGACGGGGUUCACGGUCGAAGCAAAAGUGUAAUUCGACCGCCUGGGAAGUACGGUCGCAAGGCUAAAANUCAAAAGGAAUUGACGGGGGCUCACACAACGGUGGAGCAUGUGGUUUCAAUUCGAAGCAACGCGCAGAACCUACCUGGGCUUGACAUGCCAGGAUUACCCCGGCGAAAGCCGGGUACGCCCCGCAAGGGGUGGAACUGGCACAGGUGCUGCAUGGCUGUCGUCAGCUCGUGCUNUGAAGUGUUGCGUUAAGUCGCUUAACGAGCGAAACCUUUGCCCUUAGUUACCAGCGGGUUAAGCCGGGGACUCUAAGGGGACUGCCGGUGUCAAACCGGAGGAAGGUGGAGAUGACGUCAAGUCCUCAUGGCCUUUAUGCCCAGGGCCACACACGUGCUACAAUGGGGUGCACAAAGCGAACCUAAAGCGCGAGCUCAUGGAAAUCGCAGAAAUCACCCCCCAGUUCAGAUCGGAGGCUGCAACUCGCCUCCGUGAAGUUGGAAUCGCUAGUAAUCGCGGAUCAGCUACGCCGCGGUGAAUGUGUUCCUGAGCCUUGUACACACCGCCCGUCAAGUCAUGGGAGCCGGGAAUAGCUCGAAGUCGCCCCCGACACAUGGGGUGCANUAAGCUAGGCUCGGUGACUGAGGACUAAGUCGUAACAAGGUAGCCGUACGGGGAACCUNCGGCUGGAUCUACCUCCUU
rnacentral:rRNA from 1 species